rnacentral:lncRNA from 1 species
CUCUGUUUUUCUGGCAUCUGCAAUUGGAAGCCGGCACAGGUGGCCGCUCAGGAAUCAUUGGGGAAAUGACAAGGGAUGCCCUUUCAGGACACACUACUCUGUCCAUCUUCCAUCCAGCCUGGAUAGGCAGGCUCUCCCCACCCUCCUGGAUUGGAUUCCAUUGACUCAUUUGACAUCAAGCUAUUCCUCCUGUUGUAGUC